rnacentral:ncRNA from 1 species
UCACUCUGGAAAGCAGGCAGGUGCCGGCGGCGCGCGACACGGCCGGGGCCCCUCCUCACCGACGGGGAAAGCCGUGACCGCGUACCGCGGAGCGGUGAAACUCUCAGGUUCAUGACAGAGGGGGAGGC